CCUGCUCCACGGCCUCCAGAAUUGGCAGCAUUAUUGCUCCAUACUUCAUUUACUUACGAACCUAUUCGGUCUCCCUGCCUUACAUCCUAAUGGGAAGCCUGACCGCUGUGGCAGGGUUGCUGAGCCUCCUGCUGCCUGAGAGCUUUGGAAUGCCGCUGCCGGACACAAUCAGUCACAUGCAGCAGUUCCCUGGAUGUUGUCAGAAGACACCAAACUCUAAAUAUGAGGAAAAAGCUGGGGAACAAAGGUCUCAGGUCAAGAGGAGCCGCCCUCAAAUCAAUCAGCAGCUAUGAAGUGCAGAAAUGAGAAAAUCCAUCUGAUCAGGGAACCAAACAGAAAAAAACAUUUUGAAUGAUUUUUUGUCCAACAUUUCCUUGAAAAUCAUUAACAUACCUGUUCCGUUCUCUACUGUGCAUUAUUGUUAUCAUUUCUCUCCAUUAAUACAACUUCAGCCAUAGCUGAUAAACUGAAAAUGAUGUAGCAGAAUAAACAGUUUAGAAAGUAAAGUUACUCAAAUACAGGUUACAGGUUUUACCUUAAAUUUCGGUUUUACAUACAACACUGUGAAAUUGUCAGAUUGUCUAUAUAAUUUCUGAUUUGAUAAGAGUCACAUGAACCUGUCCUCCUUUUUAGCAGUUCUCUAAUAAAUCAUGCAUUUUUGAAACUGUGAUUCAAAAAUGUACAUUUGACUGA